rnacentral:lncRNA from 1 species
GUUUGGCUGAACAUUGGAGUGUUUGGGAGAAAUGGUUAGAGCUGCCAAAAUAUCCCUUGUUUAUAAUCUAGGGCCUUGAAUGUCAACCAAAAUCUGUAAGCUAUUCAGAAAACCAUGGUAAAACAUUAACGGCUGCUGAGCAGGGAAAUGAUAUGAUAAGUGCUGUUUUAGGAAGAUUAUUCUACCUGCUGGCCACAACGGUUAGUUCAGGAUGGUUGACUGAAGAUGUUAGGAGCUCCUAUUCAUUCAUGCAUUCCAUAUUUAUGAAGCAUUUGCUCUGUGCCAGAUACUUGUCUGAGUUCUGGAGACAAAGUAAUGAAUGAGAUAGAUAUGGCUCUUACCUUCGUGGUGGUUAUCUCCUAGUUGAAGAGAAAGAUAAGAAACACAAAAGAUAAAAUGAAAAUAAGUAAGAUAAUCUCAGUUAAUGAGUUCCAUAAAGAAACUACAACAGGAAAGCAAAAUAAAAAGUGAAUGGGAAUUUCUCAGGUUAAUAUUGGGAGGUUGGGUUGAGUGUGAUGUUAGAUAAAGGGUAUCACUUGGUCACUUGGGGGAGGUAACAAUUGAGUUAAAAUUUAAAUGAUAAGAAAGAAAAAUUGUUCUGAGCAGACAAAACAGCAUGGGCAAAAUUUCCAAUUUGGGUCAACACUUAGACUGUUUGAAGUGCAGAAAGCAGGUCAGUGGAACAGGAGCAGAAUAAAUGAUGGCAAAAAAUGAUAAGUGAGGAGGUAUUAACAAUUCCUAGUUUUGCAUUGGUUUUAAAAUUUUAUGACACUGUGGUAGUUAAUUUUAUGUGUCAACUUGACUGGGCCAAGGGGUGCCCAAAUAUUUAGUUAAACAUUAUUCUGGGUGUGUCUCUAAGAGUUUCUGUAUGAGAUUAAGGUGUGAAUUGGUAAACCGAGUAGAGCAGAUGGCCCUCCCCAGUGUGGGUAGGCCUCACGCAAUUAAUUGAAGGAAGAAACACAAUAGUCUCCCCAUUUCUGGGGUGGAUGUCGUCAGUGGAUGCCUCAAACCCUGGAUCAUACCUAAUCCCAUAAACACGGUUUUUUUCCUAUACAGCAACGGGUGUGUUCUAUAUACAGCAUGGUACACUGGAUGAAGGGAUGACUCAUAUCCCAGAUGACGGUUGACUUUGAGUAACAGAAACUACAGAUAAGCGGGGGGACUACUAUAGAAUACAAAGACUGAGCAAGAGAGAAUUCCCCCUCUUUCUGCCUGAGUGCCUUCAAGCUGGGAUAUUGGUCUUCCCCUGUCUUCUGUCUUGUACUUGCACUGGAACUAUACCGUCAGCUUUCCUGGGCCUCCAAGCUUGCUGACAGCAGGUCUUGGCACUUCUCAGCCUCCAAAAUUGUAUGAGCCAAUUCCUAAUAAUAAAUCAUCCUAUUGGUUUUGUUUCUCUGGAGAACUCUCACUAAUACGGACCCUCGUGAAUUACUUCUGUAUUUAGGAAAAAAAAGUUAUAUUUUAAAUGUAAGAAAUAGACUUCAUGCUAAAAAUGAAGGGCACAGAAACUUUGAAAAGAUAUUGGGCAAAUUACUUGGGCAAGUAAUUUUAUUUCAGUUUCCUCAUUGCCAGAUGACAGUAAUAAUAAUCUCUACCUCAUAGGAUAUUGUGAGAUUUAAGCAAUAAAAUGUAUUUGGAACAAUGAUUAAUAUAACAGUGCUGGUUAUCUAUUGUGGUUGCCAAAGAAGAGAAUUAAUAUUGAAUCUUGCUUCCUGGGAGAAAGGAGAGCUGGCCAAAGAAGCCAAGAAAAACAGAAAGCAUAAAAUUUAGAAAAUAAUAGUAUCUUGAAAUCUAAGAAAGACAGAAUACCAAAAAAGGAGCGAUUCGCGAUUUUAAAUGUUGCCGAGAAAGCCAUACCCGGGUUCUUAUUACAACUAACUUCUAUGUACUCUCCUCCAUUGGCAUUCAAAAGUCCUUACUCUACUGUCA